UACUUAAAUUAAAGGGAAAACUUCAAAAAACCCCCCUGUGGUUUCGUGCAUUCUCACUUUGCUACCCUGUGGUUUAAAACGUAUCAAUUUACCCCCCUGUGGUUUCAUUUUUAUUUUUUCGGAAGCUUUUUCGUUAAUAUUUCGUUAAAUUAUAUACAAAAAACUUCAGAUAACCAUCUAUAUUUAUCGAAUAGUCACUUUAGUAUCCCUUAAUUUUAACUUUGUCACUGAUUUUAAAAAAUAAUAAUAAUAAAAUUGAUAACAAAAAGAUAAAAACAAAACCACAGGGGGGCAAAUUGAUACGUUUUAAACCACAGGGUAGCAAAGUGAGAAUGCACGAAACCACAGGGGGGGUUUUUGAAGUUUUUCCUAAAUUAAAUGACUAAUUUAUCUCGGAGUUAAAAGUUGUUAAAUCAGUGAAGUCAUUGUUAUUCAAUCAAAGUGUAAGAGGCUAUGAUAGACUUAUUACGAAGCCCGACCAAUCAAGUUAAUUUAGAUAGAAAAAAUUGGGAAUUU
rnacentral:lncRNA from 1 species